rnacentral:misc_RNA from 1 species
UCCGAGUUGACCCCGGCAGUCUCCUGCGAGUCCCCGCCAUUACGCGCUGGCAACACAGGACAAGGGUUGCGCUCGUUGCGGGACUUAACCCAACAUCUCACGACACGAGCUGACGACAACCAUGCACCACCUGUGAACCGACCCCAAAGGGGAAACCACAUUUCUGCAGCGAUCCGGUCCAUGUCAAGCCUUGGUAAGGUUCUUCGCGUUGCAUCGAAUUAAUCCGCAUGCUCCACCGCUUGUGCGGGCCCCCGUCAAUUCCUUUGAGUUUCAGCCUUGCGGCCGUACUCCCCAGGCGGGGCACUUAAUGCGUUAGCUUCGACACCGACGGGGUCGUUCCCUCCGGCAUCUAGUGCCCAUCGUUUACGGCGUGGACUAC